GGAAGAGGUGGGACGCUGAUGCUUGGACAGUUGAGAGCCUUGUACCCUUGAGGCCUGCAGAAGUAGCCUGAUGCUCCCCCGUGUGGGUGUUGUCCACUCCCCUUUGUUGAAGAUCACAGAGGCCUUGAAUGAGGUGGGCACCUUGCAGGACAAUGCUUGCCCCUCAGAACCCUCUCCCCUGGCAGCUAGAUGAGUAAGGAUAAGCAGAUCUCAGCACAGCCUGACUGGGGACCAGCUGGGCUGGCCACAGUGGCUAGGAGAGGCCACCUGCUGCAGGAGAUGGAUGAGCUGCUGACAUGUCUCAGAAGGACCCCGGAGCGGAUCCCUGAGAUUGGGUUAAAGAGCACAGACGUUGAGUUGAACGACGUUGAGUUCAUUGGCUGGGGGUACUCUGGCUUAUUGAACAGCAUGGAUACCUGGGGGUCCAAG
rnacentral:lncRNA from 1 species